GGGCAUAGCUCAGUUGGUAGAGCAUCAGCUUCCCAAGCUGAGGGUCGCGAGUUCGAGUCUCGUUACCC
rnacentral:tRNA from 1 species